AACACAUGUGCUAAUCUGUGACCCUCCACAGCCAUUAAGGACUACAUUGGGAGGAGAGCCUGCUUUCACCCUGUUCUUCAAUGGUCAGAACCCCCAGAGGACCACCACAAAGCAGGAACCCAAUCACUUCACCACAACUCUGAGGUGAUGAAUGUGUAAUUACCAAGUUUGACAGACC